rnacentral:tRNA from 1 species
GCCUGGGUGGCUCAGUGGUUGAGCAUCUGCCUUUAGCUCAGGUCCUGGGGUCCUGGGAUCGAGUCCCACAUUGGGCU